rnacentral:misc_RNA from 1 species
GAUGAAGAACGUAGUGAAAUGCGAUAAGUAAUGUGAAUUGCAGAAUUCAGUGAAUCAUCGAAUCUUUGAACGCACAUUGCGCCCCCUGGUAUUCCGGGGGGCAUGCCUGUUCGAGCGUCAUUUCAACCCUCAAGCUCUGCUUGGUAUUGAGUCCAUGUCAGCAAUGGCAGGCUCCAAAAUCAGUGGCGGCGCCGCUGGGUCCUGAACGUAGUAAUGUCUCUCGUUACAGGUGCUCGGCGUGCUUCUGCCAAAACCCCAAUUUUUCUAUGGUUGACCUCGUAUCAGGUAGGGAUACCCGCUGAACUUAAGCAUAUCAAUAAGCGGAGGA